UUAAACAAGCGGAUGAUUGCUUUAGUUUAGGCUAAAGAGGAAAGUCCGGACUUCUGCUUCCUUGAGGAGCAAAAAGAGUAGUGGGUAAUGCCCACCGUGAAUCGCAAGGUUCAUAGGGAAAGUGCCACAGAGACUAUACUAAUUGGCCAUUGGCUAAUGAAAGGUGAAAAGUUUAGAGAUAUGUGGAGUGAUUUAUUAUUCCAUAUUACUGUAUUCGCCCUAGGGUGACCUAGGUGUGCGGUAAACCCUACUUGAAGCAAGAGCAAACUUGUUUAUGAGAUAUAUUUAUUUAUAGCUCAUAGGCAAAAGAAAAGUGGCUCGCAUUUUAAUAUGUUUUCGGAUGUAUUAAAUGACCCUAAUAGUAAUAUUGGGGCUAGAUAGAUAAUCAUCGCUUUGAAUUUAUUUAAAGUACAGAAUCCGGCUUAUAGCUUGUUUAGUAAU
rnacentral:RNase_P_RNA from 1 species